rnacentral:rRNA from 1 species
AGUGAACGCUGGCGGUAGGCCUAACACAUGCAAGUCGAACGGCAGCACAGUAAGAGCUUGCUCUUACGGGUGGUGAGUGGCGGACGGGUGAGGAAUACAUCGGAAUCUACUUUUUCGUGGGGGAUAACGUAGGGAAACUUACGCUAAUACCGCAUACGACCUACGGGUGAAAGCAGGGGUUCUUCGGACCUUGCGCGAUUGAAUGAGCCGAUGUCGGAUUAGCUAGUUGGCGGGGUAAAGGCCCACCAAGGCGACGAUCCGUAGCUGGUCUGAGAGGAUGAUCAGCCACACUGGAACUGAGACACGGUCCAGACUCCUACGGGAGGCAGCAGUGGGGAAUAUUGGACAAUGGGCGCAAGCCUGAUCCAGCCAUACCGCGUGGGUGAAGAAGGCCUUCGGGUUGUAAAGCCCUUUUGUUGGGAAAGAAAAGCAGCAGGUUAAUACCCCGCUGUUCUGACGGUACCCAAAGAAUAAGCACCGGCUAACUUCGUG